rfam:Desulfotomaculum kuznetsovii DSM 6115, complete genome.
UUGUGUUAAAGGCAAACCACUCGAAAGGGUGGGGCGCAAAGCCAUGGGUCUGCAGCCCUAAAGGGUAUGACUGCCAGGCUGCCGCG